GCGCCAGUAGCUCAGUUGGAUAGAGCAGUUGGCUACGAACCAGCGUGCCGGGGGUUCGAAUCCUCUCUGGCGCACCA
rnacentral:tRNA from 1 species